GAUGAACGCUGACAGAAUGCUUAACACAUGCAAGUCUUUGGCGAAGCUGUGCUUGCACAGCCUAGCCAAGGCGGACGGGUGAGUAACGCGUAAGGAACUUGCCCUGCAGUCAGGGAUAACAGACGGAAACGACUGAUAAGACCUGGUAAAGUCAGGCGGACUCAUGUCCAGCCUGAUGAAAAGAGAUGCUGCAGGAGAGCCUUGCGUCCUAUUAGCUUGUUGGUGGGGUAACGGCCCACCAAGGGGAUGAUAGGCAGCCGGCCUGAGAGGGUGGACGGCCACGAGGGGACUGAGAUACGGCCCUUACUACUACGGGAGGCAGCAGUGGGGAAUAAUGGACAAUGGGGGCAACCGUGAUCCAGCAAUUCUGUGUGCACGAUGAAGGUUUUAGGAUUGUAAAGUGCUUUCAGAAGGGAAGAAAAAAAUGACGGUACCUGCAGAAGAAGCGACGGCUAAAUACGUG
rnacentral:rRNA from 1 species